rnacentral:rRNA from 1 species
AGCGAACGCUGGCGGCAGGCCUAACACAUGCAAGUCGAGCGCCGUAGCAAUACGGAGCGGCAGACGGGAGAGUAACACGUGGGAACGUGCCCUUCAGUUCGGAACAACCCAGGGAAACUUGGGCUAAUACCGGAUACGUCCGUAAGGAGAAAGAUUUAUCGCUGAAGGAUCGGCCCGCGUCUGAUUAGCUAGUUGGUGGGGUAACGGCCCACCAAGGCGACGAUCAGUAGCUGGUCUGAGAGGAUGAUCAGCCUCACUGGGACUGAGACACGGCCCAGACUCCUACGGGAGGCGGCAGUGGGGAAUAUUGGACAAUGGGCGCAAGCCUGAUCCAGCCAUGCCGCGUGGGUGAUGAAGGCCCUAGGGUUGUAAAGCCCUUUCGGCGGGGAAGAUAAUGACGGUACCCGCAGAAGAAGCCCCGGCUAACUUCGUGCCAGCCGCCGCCGUAACAC